UACGUAGGGGGGCAAGCGUUGUCCGGAUUUAUUGGGCGUAAAGAGCGUGUAGGCGGCCAUGUAGGUCCGUUGUGAAAACUCGAGGCUCAACCUCGAGACGCCGAAUGGAAACCAUGUGGCUAGAGUCUGGAAGAGGAGAGUGGAAUUCCUGGUGUAGCGGUGAAAUGCGCAGAUAUCAGGAAGAACACCCGUGGCUAAGGCGGCUCUUCUAGUACGGUACUGACGCUGAGACGGCGAAAGCGUGGGGAGCGAACAGG
rnacentral:rRNA from 1 species